rnacentral:lncRNA from 1 species
GUCCGAGAGCUGGCUGGUAAGUUCCUUGACUUGGCGGGUCUGCGGAGCGCCUGAGCAGGACACACACAGGCGCCGUGGGAAGAGGAGUCCUUCCUGCGCUGUGCCUGGACGCAGCCCUGCUCCCGCCCUGCAGGUGGCGCUGGAUUCGCUCUGACACGUUGGCUCCUCAUGGGGGCUGCUGGAGGUGCAGAAUCUGACCCCGGCCUCUCUCUCCUCCAGACCCUCACCGGACCGGGCCGGAGCCGGAGGCCAGGCCCAGCCUGACCCUCUCGACACUGACGCUGUGCCCGCCCGGACGGGCCCACUGCAGCACCUGUGUCAGGGCCCAGGUGGCGCUGCCCUGCAGGGGUGAGUCUCUGGCCCCUGGACAGGGGGCCCCCUGGGCUCUUCCUCACCGGCCUCACAUCACAGGUCAUUAACUGCAGCAAACAGUGAAAUCAAGAAUAUCACGCCAAGCUCUUCCUGCUGCCUGUUCUCGUAAUGAUCUCCGAGAGCCCGGAAAACACUCCUGCAGUUAAAGCCACGUCUCCAAGGCGGAGCUCUUUCGCCCUCUGGUGGAGACCUCUGUCCCUGCAGCACUCCGCCAGCUGCUGGCUUCUGAACGCAGGCAGCACAGAGUGGUCCUUGUCCCCGCCCCGCCCCCAGCUCUGCUUUCACUGCUCUCUGUCGCCCCCUCUCGCUCAGUCUCCCUCAUUGCACGUGUCCCAUCUUCUGCUCUCAGUUCUGCCCAGAAACAUUGUGCUGGACUUCCUGGAGCUGAGCAGCAACCGCCACUGGGAGGUCAGGGUGCGCGGGAGACGCCGUGCCACUACAGAAACCUGGAAAUGGCAGGAGCAGAGAAGGGCUUGGAAGAUACUGGAGCCCCCAGACCCACAGCUGAAUUCGUCACACACACCCAGAACUGUAAGAUGUGUCUGUCUGCUGAAUCUGACUGGCCCUGUGUCUCUCUGUACUCCUGUCUCCCUCUGUGUCUCUCUGUACUUCUGCGUCUCCCUGCGUCUCCCUGCGUCUCCCUGUGUCUCUCUGCGUCUCUCUGCGUCUCUCUGCGUCUCUCUGCGUCUUUCUGUGUCUUUAUGCAUCUUUCUGUCCCGCUGCGUCUCGCUGUGUCUCCCUGUGUCUCUAUGCCUCUCUGUGUCCUUGUGUCUUUCUGUACUCCUAUGUCUCUCAGUGCCUCUUUGUGCUCCUGUGCUCCUCACUGUAUCACUCUCUCUCUCUGUCUGUCUGUCCCUCUCAGUGGCAGCUGUCCUAUGAGUGUUUUGAGGCAGAGGGGGGGCGUGAUGUCCUGGUGUCUGUGUCUAGCAGUGAGCUCCAGGAGCCGGUGAGCGUGGCCUACACGGUGGAGGACAGCGAGAGAGGUACGGCCCAACACACUGUCACUGCAGGGAGCAGCCUGAGAACGUUACAGGAGUGCAGGAGUUCACCAUGUGAUGUUCUAUUCAUUAUAGCAGAUUGCAGUGUCCAAUAUUUUAUUUGAGUUUACUCUGUUGUGGCGUAUGACAGUACAACAGUUUAUUCUACACUACAGCAGUAUGUUGCAGUACAUUGUUGGAUGUAAUUGAAUAUUACAACGUCAGGUAAUUAGAUUCAGUUCCUGUAAAGAAGUAGCAGUGUUCAGUCUGGGACACUAACAGCCCACACCUUGUUUUUGUACCUGUUGGGAAAUCGUGAACUCCCACUGCUAUAAAGUGCUGG